rnacentral:rRNA from 1 species
GACGAACGCUGGCGGCGUGCUUAACACAUGCAAGUCGAACGGAAAGGCCCUGCUUUUGUGGGGUGCUCGAGUGGCGAACGGGUGAGUAACACGUGAGUAACCUGCCCUUGACUUUGGGAUAACUUCAGGAAACUGGGGCUAAUACCGGAUAGGAGCUCCUGCUGCAUGGGGGGGGUUGGAAAGUUUCGGCGGUUGGGGAUGGACUGGCGGCUUAUCAGCUUGUUGGUGGGGUAGUGGUUUACCAAGGCGUUGACGGGUAGCCGGCCUGAGAGGGUGACCGGCCACAUUGGGACUGGGAUACGGCCCAGGGUCCUACGGGGGGCAGCAGUGGGGAAUAUUGCAGCAUGGGCGGAAGCCUGAUGCAGCAACGCCGCGUGCGGGAUGACGGCCUUCUGGUUGUAAACCGCUUUCGCCUGUGACGAAGCGUGAGUGACGGUAAUGGGUAAAGAAGCACCGGCUAACUACGUG